GAUGAACGCUGGCGGCGUGCCUAAUACAUGCAAGUCGAGCGAACGGACGAGAAUCUUGCUUCUCUGAUGUUAGCGGCGGACGGGUGAGUAACACGUGGAUAACCUACCUAUAAGACUGGGAUAACUUCGGGAAACCGGAGCUAAUACCGGAUAAUAUUUUGAACCGCAUGGUUCAAAAGUGAAAGACGGUCUUGCUGUCACUUAUAGAUGGAUCCGCGCUGCAUUAGCUAGUUGGUAAGGUAACGGCUUACCAAGGCAACGAUGCAUAGCCGACCUGAGAGGGUGAUCGGCCACACUGGAACUGAGACACGGUCCAGACUCCUACGGGAGGCAGCAGUAGGGAAUAUUCCGCAAUGGGCGAAAGCCUGACGGAGCAACGCCGCGUGAGUGAUGAAGGUCUUCGGAUCGUAAAACUCUGUUAUUAGGGAAGAACAUAUGUGUAAGUAACUGUGCACAUCUUGACGUUACCUACUCAGAAAGCCACGGCUAACUACGUG
rnacentral:rRNA from 1 species